CCUACGGGAGGCAGCAGUGGGGAAUCUUCCGCAAUGGGCGAAAGCCUGACGGAGCAACGCCGCGUGAACGAUGAAGGUCUUAGGAUCGUAAAGUUCUGUUGUUAGGGACGAAGGGUAAGAAUCAUAAUAAGGUUUUUAUUUGACGGUACCUAACGAGGAAGCCACGGCUAACUACGUGCCAGCAGCCGCGGUAAUACGUAGGCGGCAAGCGUUGUCCGGAAUUAUUGGGCGUAAAGGGAGCGCAGGCGGGAAACUAAGCGGAUCUUAAAAGUGCGGGGCUCAACCCCGUGAUGGGGUCCGAACUGGUUUUCUUGAGUGCAGGAGAGGAAAGCGGAAUUCCCAGUGUAGCGGUGAAAUGCGUAGAUAUUGGGAAGAACACCAGUGGCGAAGGCGGCUUUCUGGACUGUAACUGACGCUGAGGCUCGAAAGCUAGGGUAGCGAAC
rnacentral:rRNA from 1 species